rnacentral:lncRNA from 1 species
ACAUUAAUAUUGAUUAAUAUAUGUUAACGGUUAGGAUGGCCAUUGUAGGUUCUCCGCUGGCUUCCAUUUGGAAGUGUUCCAUGUGUCUACAUAGCAGCUCACCAUUCACUAUUGACUUAAUAACACUUGAUCUCCUCCCAAAUCCUGACAGUCCUCCCUUCUCUGAUCUCUGAUGCCUCUCAACCUGAAAACAGGGUCUCCUCACACUCAGGCCCUAACUUCUGCCCAUAAGAUAUCAAAGCUUUUUCCUCAUUUUUAAUGAGCUCUUGGUGUGUAAUGCGGAGACCUUCAGCGGCUGAUUAGGCAGCGCUCUUAAUCCUUGCAUACAAACAAGGUUUCCGUUAGGGCUCUGCAUGACCCAGCUUGGCACCUUUCAGGCAAAGAAUAGCAGGUGCUGAUUGGAGGACUACUUUCCCAUAAUGUGCUGGCUCAGUAGCUGUUUGCAUGUAUAUCUCAAUUAGCAGGAUGUGUGUGCUUCCAGAAUGUGGGAGAACAAUAGUUCAUGGUUUCAUUUUCUUAUCAAAGGCUGAUAAUGUGAAUAGCAUAUGGCCAUUCAUUCAGCAUGAAAGUUGACAUUAUAUGAGACUAAUCCGUCGUUUGCAAUACCUGGGAACAAUGAAAACUUUACCAAGGACGAAAAAAAACAUGUUCUUGUCCACGUCAUCCUAAUUUCAUGUAGCUUGAGGCUUGAGCAAAUUUAAACUCUUUACUGAAGUCGUUAGUGGUUGGGAACAGAGAUGUCUGGCUCCUUGCCUUCCUGGUGUUGUAGACCGGGGUCCUGUUUGCUUCUUCUGCUGCUGGUCUCCUCGUCAGUAGUGCUCUCCUCUGAAGGGCUCCUCCAGGAACAGAACAUCUUCUCCAUCUGCCGGGACCAGUCAGGGAGGAAUUGCGGUUUGGAGGGAGAAUCUAGAGAUGGCCGGAGCGCUCCACAACGGGCCCAGGAUGUGCUUGGGGUUGUCCUGGGAGACCGACCAACAGGCACGCGUGUCUGGCCCAGCGUUCUUCUGGAUUACAUGAGGAAGCAAUGGAAGUUCAGAGCAAGGACAAAGAAAGGUGUAACAAAACAAACGUGAAAUAUGAAAUGCCUCAGAAUGAUCAGUGCAUAGAUAGCGAUAAUGUAGUAGAUAGUGUUCUGUACAGGUGUACAUUACGAUUUUGUAUUUUGCGUAAUUUGGAUUGGUG